rnacentral:tRNA from 1 species
AAUGAAGUGCCUGAAAAAAGGAAUAUCUUGAUAGGGUAAAUAAUGUGAUUAAUCACCUUCAUUA